rnacentral:lncRNA from 1 species
UAGGCAGGACAUGACUAGUAUGCAGGUUACCGAGGACUUGACCCUUGAUGGGGGAGUCUGGAGGUCUAGAAUCAGGGUUGCAGGCUAGGGGCUCUUAGAGUCCUUCGUUCGCCCCAUCCGGGGUUGGGUGUGGGAUAGUAGGGUUACCCGUAGAUGACUAGUGUUUUAGCGUAGGUCCCCUCUUGGUUGGUAAUAUGAUAGCUGUCGCUUGUUAUUGUCGCAUGCGACGGUAUUUAUGUUUCUUAUGUUUACAUAAUCAUUUACGUUAUUUCUGCAGGAUUACUUAUGCUUUGUUUUGUUACNN